rnacentral:rRNA from 1 species
GACGAACGCUGGCGGCGUGCCUAAUACAUGCAAGUAGAACGCUGAAGAGAGGAGCUUACUCUUCUUGGAUGAGUUGCGAACGGGUGAGUAACGCGUAGGUAACCUGCCUUGUAGCGGGGGAUAACUAUUGGAAACGAUAGCUAAUACCGCAUAACAAUGGAUGACACAUGUCAUUUAUUUGAAAGGGGCAAUUGCUCCACUACAAGAUGGACCUGCGUUGUAUUAGCUAGUAGGUGAGGUAAUGGCUCACCUAGGCGACGAUACAUAGCCGACCUGAGAGGGUGAUCGGCCACACUGGGACCGAGACACGGCCCAGACUCCUACGGGAGGCAGCAGUAGGGAAUCUUCGGCAAUGGGGGCAACCCUGACCGAGCAACGCCGCGUGAGUGAAGAAGGGUGUCGGAUCGUAAAGCUCGGUUGUAAGUCAAGAACGGGUGUGAGAGUGGAAAGUUCACACUGUGACGGUAGCUGACCAGAAAGGGACGGCUAACUACGUG